rnacentral:misc_RNA from 1 species
GAUGAAGAACGCAGCGAAAUGCGAUAAGUAAUGUGAAUUGCAGAAUUCAGUGAAUCAUCGAAUCUUUGAACGCGCAUUGCGCCAGCCAGUACUCUGGCGGGCAUGCCUGUUCGAGCGUCAUUUCAACCAUCAAGCCCCCGGCUUGUGUUGGGGACCUGCGGCUGCCGCAGGCCCUGAAAAGCAGUGGCGGGCUCGCUGUCACACCGAGCGUAGUAGCAUACAUCUCGCUCUGGGCGUGCUGCGGGUUCCGGCCGUUAAACCACCUUCAUAACCCAAGGUUGACCUCGGAUCAGGUAGGAAGACCCGCUGAACUUAAGCAUAUCAAUAAGCGGAGGA